rnacentral:rRNA from 1 species
GACGAACGCUGGCGGCGUGCCUAAUACAUGCAAGUUGAGCGCUGAAGGUUGGUACUUGUACCAACUGGAUGAGCAGCGAACGGGUGAGUAACGCGUGGGGAAUCUGCCUUUGAGCGGGGGACAACAUGUUGAAACGAAUGCUAAUACCGCAUAAAAACUUUAAACACAAGUUUUAAGUUUGAAAGAUGCAAUUGCAUCACUCAAAGAUGAUCCCGCGUUGUAUUAGCUAGUUGGUGAGGUAAAGGCUCACCAAGGCGAUGAUACAUAGCCGACCUGAGAGGGUGAUCGGCCACAUUGGGACUGAGACACGGCCCAAACUCCUACGGGAGGCAGCAGUAGGGAAUCUUCGGCAAUGGACGAAAGUCUGACCGAGCAACGCCGCGUGAGUGAAGAAGGUUUUCGGAUCGUAAAACUCUGUUGGUAGAGAAGAACGUUGGUGAGAGUGGAAAGCUCAUCAAGUGACGGUAACUACCCAGAAAGGGACGGCUAACUACGUG